AGCAUAUCAAAGCAGGAAAGAGCCUGCUACCCUCAGGCUUAUUCCCUAUCCAUGUGGGCGGAUAACACCAAUACCCAUGAAAGAAGGAGAGGAACGUACUGCUCUGGAACAGAACAGUGCAUGCUCUGUAUGAUGCAGAGUACAAGGUAUUCAGAGAAUGGGACUCUGUGAAGGUUGGGGUCCUCAGGAAAGGCUUCGCAAAGGAUAUCAACCUGAACCAACGUACAUGGCCACAUGGUGCUGCUUUCCCCUGCAGACAACCCAGACUUGGAGGUUGAGAAGUGGCAG
rnacentral:lncRNA from 1 species